CUUUGUUGAUCUCAUUAUAAUUCCUUUUAUUCUGGACCGAUUCCACUUAUACUCUUUCAUUAAACCUCUUGUUUAAUAAAAGACUGGGGGGCAAUGUUGGGCCAUGAUCCUUUUCCUUAUUGGGUCAGACUUAAUGGGCUCCUCCAUGGGGUUAUGAUUAUUCUUGCCCUAUUGGUCCGGAUGCAGUGGGCCGAAUUACUAGAUGAGUAUGCUUCCACUUGGGCUUUGACCGGUGUAGAUUGGGGAUAGAACUUUGAC
rnacentral:lncRNA from 1 species